UAUCAACCCAUGGAGCAACGUCUUUAUCGGAGGCCAAUUUGGCCUCUGUCGCAGCCUGAUCAGGGCCUAAGAAUGCAGACAGAACAGCCAGCUGACCAAACAAGAAGAAAUAGGUUGCAAAAGGAACAGGGGACAAGAAAGAAAAAGGCGGUGUUUUGGGAUUCUUGGGGUUUGCUCAGUGGUUUCUGAUGCGGAAUGUACUCAAUGUAGUGCAGCUAAGUCCACUCAGUGUUAUUGUUGGGCUUUCGAGAUGCUAUCAUAUCACCCGUUCCAUCCCAUUCGAUUUAUAACGCUACAUCUACUACUACUACUAUUACGGUUGUUUUUUUAUUUUUUUUUUAUUUUUCAUAGUAUCCUCGAAUCCAACAGAUCAAUGACUAAUU